UUGUUAACCCUUAAGUACUAAGGAUCUUCCUGUUUGUACCUCCCCAGAACUGGUUUCACCAGUCUGUAGCACUGCACAGGGCUCUUUAUCUGGAUGCUGGCAAUCUGAACUCAGGUUCUCCUGCUUCCACGCAAUCUCACGAGAUGGGAGAUGGCUAAGGGAUAGCACAUCAGACUAGAGAAGACAAAGGGAUGGAAGACGAAAAGUACACAACAGGAGCUGAGACCAUGGGAUGAUGCCACCCACAUUCAGAGUCUACCUUUCUUGGUUAACUCUAUGGUAAUGGUAUAGACAUUUGUCUCAGUCCAGUCCACUAGCAAACACCACACAUGAAUCAGCAAGGCUAGUUUAAUCCAGAAGAAACCUCAAGGCUCCCCAAUCAAUCUGAGACCAUGGAAGUGGCAAGAAACCACAGGAAUCUCACAAGAAGUUCUUUGUUAGCCCAGACAUGAGCAAAAAUCUUCAUACUCUUGACACCAUGCCUUCUCUCUCAUGGAUGGAGCUGAGCACGUGGCAAGUAGGAGGAAGGGAGCCCUACACAGAGAACCCUACUGUGUACGGUAAAGCUCUGGACCUUAAAGACCAGCAGGGCAGGGAAGAUGAAGGUCAGUAGAACCUAAUCAGGAAGGGGUGAGAAAGAAACAUGAGACAUUGUUCCAUAUUUCCCACGGGUCAUGGUAGAAAGUUGACUGUGAAAAAAGAAAACCACUGAAGGAAAAUCUAAUAAGUGUUACAGAAAUAGUGGAACCAUCUGAGAGCCCUACAUAGUUAGGUGACAGAGUAAUUCCAACUUCAGAGGCCAGUGUUCUAAACCAGGGAUCAGUAAACCAUGACUGCAGGACCAAUUUGGGCCUCCUUUCUUCCUUUUAAACAUAGAGUGCCACUGGAAGAUGUCCCUUCUGUGUCUACUUUUUUUGUCUUGUAUGACUGACUACAUUCCUACAUAAAGAACUGGCUGCUUUUAACAGACAGUGCAUGGCCUACGGGCCCCACAUUUUUGCUAUCUUGCCCUUUCAUAAAAUCUAUUGUCUCCUGCACUAGUUUGUGAACCCCUGGUAGACAGGCAUAGUAUCCAUUGGGUCUUACUGUCUCCCAUGGCCAAUCAGUGACUGGUAUUUAGCGGAAUUCAAUCAGCACCUGCAAAUGAACAAGGAGUAGGAGGGGUGGUACAGAGUGUAGAAGUGAACAGGCUGCAGAUUGAAUGGGUAGGGUCAACUGGGGACAAGAGACAUAAGUAGAUGUGGACAGGGUAUACAGACAAAGAAAGUGACCCAGCUGGACAAGAAAUCAGAGUAUGCAGAAGAAGCAGGUGUCACACUGGAAUUCCCUGGGACUUGAUUCAGAAGAGCCUUGAACGCCACCAUCAUUAAAUGCUCAGGACCUUUAAGUGGCUGAGUUAGCAGUCAGAGAGGCACUGAAAGAGACCUGCUUUUCCAAGAUGAAGAUUGUAAUUGGUUAUUGAUGUCCUAUUUGUAUGCUAAUGCUGCUCAAUAAAACAGCGAAACCAUAA